rnacentral:rRNA from 1 species
GACGAACGCUGGCGGCGUGCUUAACACAUGCAAGUCGAACGGAAAGGCCCCCUUGUGGGGUACUCGAGUGGCGAACGGGUGCGUAACACGUGAGUAACCUACCCUUGACUUUGGGAUAACUUCAGGAAACUGGGGCUAAUACCGGAUAGGAGCUCCUGCUGCAUGGUGGGGGUUGGAAAGUUUCGGCGGUUGGGGAUGGACUAGCGGCUUAUCAGCUUGUUGGUGGGGUAGUGGCUCACCAAGGCUUUGACGGGUAGCCGGCCUGAGAGGGUGACCGGCCACAUUGGGACUGAGAUACGGCCCAGACUCCUACGGGAGGCAGCAGUGGGGAAUAGUGCACAAUGGGCGGAAGCCUGAUGCAGCAACGCCGCGUGCGGGAUGACGGCCUUCGGGUUGUAAACCGCUUUCGCCUGUGACGAAGCGUGAGUGACGGUAAUGGGUAAAGAAGCACCGGCUAACUACGUG